GGAAAAGAGAAAGUGAACGAAGAUAUCGAUUAAAUUCGAUAAAUAGUGGCUAGGUACGAAAGUAUAAGGACUCAGCAUACAAGCCGAUCCCCAAACUCAAAUUGGUGAAGUUUCUAUCUUUUUGGAAAAUGGCAUUGUACCUAGGAUGUCUUUUGGUCAUUUUGAAAGUAUCUAAGUUGUUAAGUGAUAUUUUGGUAUGUUUUGUAAAUGUUACCAAAACCUUAAGUAUGGUAUGUUUUGAUAUGUUAGUGAAGAGUAAUAAGAGGAAGUGUUGGUAAAUAUUGUAGAGAGAAGAAAUGAAGAUGUUAUAAACUUAGUUAUCAA